CCCUCUUAUACCCAGGUAGGAUCCUCCUGCACUCCCAGCUGUGAAGCACCAGCACUCACAGCCCCCUCAGGCUGUGAGAGGGUGAGAAAUCACCCUCCCCUCUGCGACAGACAGUGAAACCCCAUUUGACAUGCAGUACAGGAGGGGACGUUGGCAGAGCUUUGGGCAGGACGAGGAGUUUUGCUCAAAGAAAUGAGCAAGCAGGGAGAAAUGGAGAAACGGAGAAACGGAGAAUGUUCUCAUGAGCUAUGGGAUGGGGUGGAAACAGGGAUUUCCUCCUGCCUUUCAGCUGCAGCAAGAAUUCCAAGUGGGCGCCAGACUUGGUUAUAGCAGUGCCGUGCAGAAGAGGAAAUCCUGAGGAGAGCCCAGGGUGGCUCAUGGGUGAAGCCCCAGCUGCCAGGGGGAUGUCACCCUCAAGUCCCCCCUGUCUCCUCUUGCAGCAUCAGAACCCAAAGUGCCGUCGCCACUACAGGCCUUCCCAAGGCAGGGAGAUGGCCAGAUGCUGUCUGAACCCCUCCUCACUCCUCCCCCUCAAAGUUUUGGGCACUUUGGGGUAAUUUCAGGACUGGAAGACACACAGGUCUGAACAGAGGUGGCUCAGUUUGUGGCUUUCUAGGUGACAUCCAGGUAAACCUUUGCCCUAAGUAGACCCCAGCCACAAACAUCCAGGCACCCAUUAUUCCAGUCCCACCGAGGGCCCACCCCAAUUUUUGCCCAGGGGUUCCCACCACCAUCCUCCCCCCUCAGCAGCUGCACACACCUGCUCAGAGGCCGCCGGGGCCCUUCCUCUGCUCCCUGUUGCCACUUCCAAAGUCCACUUCCACAUGGGCCAGUGGGCAAAGGGCAGCCUCUGCUCCUCCACCUCGCGCCAGCCACCCACUCGGCUCCCGGGGGAUUCCUGCUGCUCUUUGCAUCCUGAGGGUCUCCUCUCCCAUCACUUGGGUCUCCUCCCACCCAAGGGACUGAGUAUCUCAUCCAUGUCACCAUGCCGCCUGCUCCUGCACCAGGACCCACCACGGCCUGUGGGAUGAGCUCUGCUCCCAGGAGGUUCACAGGAUACAAGGACAGGAGCAACCAUCCAUCAAGGCACAUUGUCACCAGCGUGGCAGACAGCAAGCCCCAGGUGUGGAGGGGACAAGCUCUCACAAGCUCACAUUUUUGGGCCUGGUUCCUGUUUCACGUGGCAGCAGGGUCGGCCUCGACCCGGAGCCUGCCCCAACA